CUGACGGAGCAAUGCCGCGUGGAGGUGGAAGGCCUACGGGUCGUCAACUUCUUUUCUCGGAGAAGAAACAAUGACGGUAUCUGAGGAAUAAGCAUCGGCUAACUCUGUGCCAGCAGCCGCGGUAAGACAGAGGAUGCAAGCGUUAUCCGGAAAGAUUGGGCGUAAAGCGUCUGUAGGUGGCUUUUCAAGUCCGCCGUCAAAUCCCAGGGCUCAACCCUGGACAGGCGG
rnacentral:ncRNA from 1 species